rnacentral:rRNA from 1 species
AUGGCCACCUCCCGUGCCCAUGUCGUCAAAAAAUUCUGCAACGCUGAGGAGGGCAUCUUAAGUUAUGUCCGCAGCCUCACGUCCUCAUACAACACGAGCAAUGAGUCAUCCGUGGUGUCCGCCUCCGUAAUCAUGUUCGUCCUCGUCGGCCUCUCUUUCAACCUCAACCUCUUCAGCCGCUUCUCCGGCAUCAGCGCCACCCUUGACCCCAAGGUCCGCCUCUUCCUUUCCUCCUCUUUCUCCCUCUUCCUCCCCGUCAUGUCCUACCUCUUCUCCGAGUCCAAGAACGCCGGCUCCGCGGCUCAGGACACCACCACCGGCGACCUCUCGCUACCUGCCGGUAUGAUCCUCAUCUGGAUGCUGCUGGUAGAGCUCCUCCGCAAGAAAGUGGAAGAGGUCCGCAUGCACGGCUACUCCUGCAGCAUCCAGCGUGCUGGCCGCGUGGUGUGGCUCGGCAGCCUCGUCUUCUUCAACAUCCAGAGAGUCGGCCGGAAGGCCGUCUUCGGCGUCCUUUGGGUGCUCUGCGCCACCAAAGUGGUGCAAAGGAUCGCCUUCACUGAGAUUGGCAAGCGAUCCUAUGCGUACGGCAAAAACACGCGCCUCAUCACCUCCUACAUGUCACAAAUAAUGCAGCAAGAUGUAUCAUCUCAGCAGCAGGACCAGCAUGGUUCCCCGUCAACAGACGUCUACGUGGAGCACUGCAUGGUGGCUAGCGGAAACCAUGGUGGCGGAGGCGAGGCCAUGUUGAAGAGGUGCAAGUUGGUCAUUAUGGGUGAAGAAGACUUGGUUAUACAACCCAGCCCAGACGGCUACUAUCUGAAGAAUGUCUCCCCAGAUGACACCGUAGCCACCGUUGGAAAGAUCUGGCAGCAUGCCUGCUGCACCAACCUCGAUCAAGGCCCGCGGCUCAAGAGGUUGUGCCUCUCCUUCGCGCUUUUCAAGCUUCUCCGGCGGAGGUUCGAGCACCUUCCAUUAUCUGAUGCCGAGACUCGUGAGUGCCGUGGCCUACUCUUCAACGGCAUCUACAGCGAUAGGACAGAGGGCGCGGCGGAGGCGCUUUUUCAGAUGAUGAACGACGAGGUGAAAUUCCUCUGCGAGUAUUACCACUCUGUCAUCCCCGUAGUCCUCGCCAGCCCUUUCUUCUUCCUCGCCAAUUACUUCCUUCUCCCCGUGGUGGUGCUCGGCCUGUGCAUCCUGACCGUCAUCCUUUGCGGCUAUGGUGACGCAAGCUUUGCAUUCGCGCACAUCAGGACAGACAACUACACGUUCUCGUCUGACAUCGUCAGCAGCACCAUGUGUCUCCUUUUCCAGGCCCUGAUCUGGAGACCAGCCUUCUUCACCCUAAUGAACUUCUUCAUCACCUUCCUCCUCUUCGUCAUCUUCUUCUUCGAGGAGAUAUGGGAGUUCAUUGUCUUCCUUUUCUCAGACUGGUUCAUGGUGUCCGUGCUCUGCAACUUUGUGGCGAAGCCCCAAUGGCAGAGUAGCCCAACGUACAGUGGCGUUGUUUACAGCUUCCUAUGGGUACAGAGCAAGAUGAGCCAACCCACCAUUAGCUUCAAGCAGUUCUCUCUACUAAACCUCCGGUGGCCACUCGUCCUCAGCAUACCGUCCAUCUUCUCUCUACUCCUCCGAACAGCUCCCGUGCCAAACAAAGCCAAGCACUUCAUCGUUGAAUCCCUCGUGGCACACUGCUGUGAUGGAGCCCCUCUCAGUAAUGGCAAGUCAGCACUCGCCGACCGACCAGAUCUCUUGGCAGCGUGCAAGAGCAAGAGCAUCGUGGAGGUCAUCCUCACCUGGCACAUUGCGACUGCGCUGCUAGAGGCGUGCCCUCCCCAUCGCAACCAGAGCAAGGACUCACACACGGUGGCCACGAGUCUGUCCAGGUACUGCGCCUAUUUAGUGGCCUUCCACCCAGAUCUCCUCCCUGAAAACCCGGACAAUACGGAGCGUGUAUUUGAGGCCGCCAAGGCGGAACUCAAGCGCACGCUUGGCUGUGCUAGCUACUACCUCUCGUGCUGGUGCUGGAGGGUCGACCAGAUCAGAAAGGUGGCGGAGGCGACCACAAUGACAGAAUGGAAGGAGGGUGAGGUGGUGCUCAACGGCGCGAGGCUGGGGAAUUUGUUGAAGGAAGAAGCUCUAAGGGAUAGCGGCGUCCAGUGGGAGCAGACAUGGAAGCUGCUCGCCGACCUGUGGACGGAGCUCAUCGUUUACAUCGCACCAUCAAGCAAAGAGGAUCACGUGAUGGGGCACGAGAGCUUGCUGGUGCAGGGUGGGGAAUUCAUCACCAUGCUUUGGGCUUUGACCACCCAUACCGGCAUAACCCGCCCGGAAAAUUACUAG